rnacentral:rRNA from 1 species
CCCUUAGAUGUUCUGGGCCGCACGCGCGCUACACUGAUGAAUGCAACGAGCUCUACCCUUGACCGAAAGGCCCGGGUAAACUUGUGAAACUUCAUCGUGAUGGGGAUAGAUUAUUGCAAUUAUUAAUCUUCAACGAGGAAUUCCUAGUAAGCGCGAGUCAUCAGCUCGCGUUGAUUACGUCCCUGCCCUUUGUACACACCGCCCGUCGCUCCUACCGAUUGAAUGGUCCGGUGAAAUCUUCGGAUUGCUGACCAAGAUCCAGCAAUGGAGCUUGGUUGCGAGAAGUUGAUUAAACCUUAUUAUUUAGAGGAAGGAGAAGUCAUAACA